rnacentral:misc_RNA from 1 species
GAUGAAGAACGUAGUGAAAUGCGAUAAGUAAUGUGAAUUGCAGAAUUCAGUGAAUCAUCGAAUCUUUGAACGCACAUUGCGCCCGCCAGUAUUCUGGCGGGCAUGCCUGUCCGAGCGUCAUUUCAACCAUCAAGCCCCGGGCUUGUGUUGGGGACCUGCGUCCGACGCAGGCCCUGAAAACCAGUGGCGGGCUCGCUGUCCACACCGAGCGUAGUAACUAACCUCGCUAUGGAGUGGCGCGGGCGCCUGCCGUAAAACCCCCAAUUUCACAAGGUUGACCUCGGAUCAGGUAGGAAUACCCGCUGAACUUAAGCAUAUCAAUAAGCGGAGGA